rnacentral:lncRNA from 1 species
AAAAAAUAAAGGCUUGCUUGAGUGGACAGAACUGUGCGCAGAGCAUAGGAAAACAUACACUUCUGGAGAAAUCAAUGAAACAGAUAUAUAUCAUCGAAAGACCUUGAUACAUGGCUUUGCAAGGCACAUCUGUGAAUUUUUGCAGACAUUUCAGCCAUAUUGGUGAGUCCCAUUUUAUGUCCAGAUCAACUAUGCAUACACAUAAUGAAAAUUUACUGGUUUAUAUUUUUCUCUCAGUCUAGAAUUCCCAGGGGACUGAAAAAAAUGAAAUAAAUCUUAUCAGCAUUUUUUACAACUCUUAAAGCAAAAACCAGAACACUUUUGAAGAGCGUACAAAGUGUUAUAGUGGCCAAGGGACCAGAAGAGAUAGAGGCACCACAAGAACUUCAUAUAUCCCAGAGUCUGAGCCACUUAAAUAACAACAUGCCCUAUAUUAGGACAAACUGGAUGGGGAAAGGCCUGGAAAGUUAAAGUGUCCCCACCCUUCCCCAAGAUCUCCUUCAAACAAAAGGCCAAAUCAUACAGGACUCCUGAGGCUGACAUCAGUGUGUGUUCCUGUGAGGGAGACCAGCAAAAGGAUGUAUCCAAGACUACUUGGAUUCAGAGCUACUCCAAGACUUCAGUAGUUCCAGACAUGUAUGCCAAGUGUGGUUCAUGGACGAGAAGAAUGAUAAAUAUGAGGCCUUCGCACAAUCAGUAGUCAUAAUACACUUUAUUUCUUUGGCAAGUAAUAAGAGUUUAACCACUAGAAACUUUAAUUUUUAAGGUUUGAUUUAACACAUGACUGUCUUGCUUCUGUUAAUUGUUUAAGUCUUCUAGCAGUCCAUGCUCCUGUGCAUGUGAGAUGGUAUAUUUGAAAGCAGUCAGAAAGAUUUCAAAAUACUAGAGAAAGAUGCCAUCCAGAGAACAAUAGAACUGAUGGAUAGCUAAAUACCACAGCUACCUUGUGACUUGGUUUGGGUAUCUGACCGAGCAUCUGACAGUGCCUGAGACAUACUGGACAUCCAGGAACUUUUUGUUGAAUAAGUCAAUAAAACUAAUGAGUG